CCUACGGGCGGCAGCAGUAGGGAAUAUUGCUCAAUGGGGGAAACCCUGACGCAGCAACGCCGCGUGGAGGAUGAAGGUUUUAGGAUUGUAAACUCCUUUUGUGAGAGAUGAUCAUGACGGUAUCACCCCAAUAACAACCGGCUAACACCGUCCCAGCAGCCGCGGCAAUACUGAGGGUGCAAGCGUUACUCGGAAUGAUUGGGCGUAAGGAGUGCGCAGGCGGGCUUGUAAGUCAGAUGUGAAAUCCUGUAGCUUAACUACAGAACUGCAUUUGAAACUAUGAGUCUAGAGUGUGGGAGAGGUAGGUGGAAUUCUUAGUGUAGGGGUAAAAUCCGUAGAUAUCAAGAGGAAUACUCAUUGCGAAGGCGACCUACUGGAACAUUACUGACGCUCAUGCACGAAAGCGUGGGGAGCAAACAGGAUUAGAUACCCCAGUAGUC
rnacentral:rRNA from 1 species